rnacentral:rRNA from 1 species
GACGAACGCUGGCGGCGUGCUUAACACAUGCAAGUCGAACGGAAAGGCGCUGCUUUUGUGGGGUGCUCGAGUGGCGAACGGGUGAGUAACACGUGAGUAACCUGCCCUUGACUUUGGGAUAACUUCAGGAAACUGGGGCUAAUACCGGAUAGGAGCUCCUGCUGCAUGGUGGGGGUUGGAAAGUUUCGGCGGUUGGGGAUGGACUCGCGGCUUAUCAGCUUGUUGGUGGGGUAGUGGCUUACCAAGGCUUUGACGGGUAGCCGGCCUGAGAGGGUGACCGGCCACAUUGGGACUGAGAUACGGACCAGACUCCUACGGGAGGCAGCAGUGGGGAAUAUUGCACAAUGGGCGGAAGCCUGAUGCAGCAACGCCGCGUGCGGGAUGACGGCCUUCGGGUUGUAAACCGCUUUCGCCUGUGACGAAGCGUGAGUGACGGUAAUGGGUAAAGAAGCACCGGCUAACUACGUG